GACUAUACCGUUGAGUCAUCAUCAGGAAUUAUGAAAGCUACUAAAAAGUUUACAAGUUUCAUACCUGUAUAUAUAACUUGUAAAAUUUUUAGUAGCUUUCAUAAUUCCUGAUGCUGACUCAACAGUAUAGUC